ensembl:lncRNA
GGAGUCUGGCGGGCUACAGUCCACAGCGUCGCAAACAUCAGACAAGACUGAAGGAACCUAGCAUGCAUUCCAAGCAAAGAGUUCACUGGGAGCCAGUAGGCACGAGGGAGAGGCACAUAAGCCUUCGGCCCCUGUGGCUGCUUAGAGCUUGUUGUGGUCUGCACACCCAUCUCUGCCAGGCCCGAGCUUCUGUAAUGGACUAAUCUGAUCCUAGGAUACCCCUGCUGCAGCUCUGGAAUACCUGGCUGAGAGACCUGGAUUAGACUUUUGAGAAGGAUGCUAAAGAGAAAGUGAUGGCCUUGCUCAGUGUGCACCAGCCUGCCUGGCAGCAGCAGUUCACCACAUUUUAAAUGAUGGAGGUUUGGCGAGGGAGAUGAGCAGGAUGGGAGACCCAUUAGAAGAAUGAUACAGCAUUCAGAGGAAGGUUAAAAAUGAAGCAUGUGUUAUAAAUAAUAAAACAUGUCCAACUGUG